UGGCUCUCGCAUCGAUGAAGAACGCAGCGAAAUGCGAUAAGUAAUGUGAAUUGCAGAAUUCAGUGAAUCAUCGAAUCUUUGAACGCACCUUGCGCCCCUUGGCUAUUCCUUGGGGCAUGCCUGUUUGAGUAUCAUGAACACCUCAACUCUCACGGUUUGCCGUGGUGGGCUUGGACUGUGGGGGUUUGCUGGCUCAUUAUGUGGUCGGCUCCCCUCAAAUAAAUCAGCUUGCCAGUGUUCUGGUGGCAUCGCGGGUGUGAUAACCAUCUACGCUCACGCUUGUCCGCUGGGUAACCUUUGGCGACAGAGGUUCACUGGGGCUUACAGACGUCUCUCCUUAGCGAAGACAGCCUUUGAACGUUCGAUCUCAAAUCAGGUAGGACUACCCGCUGA
rnacentral:misc_RNA from 1 species